UUGUUAAAGGACAUUUAGAAAUUUGUGUCGUAGUAUUCGUCAAUUUGGCAGUUGGGUAAAAUUGAUGAUGUUCAAGGCUGAUCCAAUGGGGCUUGCAUGGUGGAAUUUCUACAGAAGUUGCAAGUACUCUAUUUCACCCAGCCUAUAGUUAUUGCUUGGCUUUGUGGCAACAUCAAGGUUUUGGUAUGCUUCCAAGUUGACUCAUUAGACUCGUUAUGAGUACAUUACAAGCAUUUGAGCUCAGUGUGAUUAGCCUGGGCCUCACUAAGCUAACUUGACAGAAAUCGGAUUACAUCAUUGUUAAAGGACAUUUAGAAAUUUGUGUCGUAGUAUUCGUCAAUUUGGCAGUUGGGUAAAAUUGAUGAUGUUCAAGGCUGAUCCAAUGGGGCUUGCAUGGUGGAAUUUCUACAGAAGUUGCAAGUACGCUAUUUCACCCAGCCUAUAGUUAUUGCUUGGCUUUGUGGCAGCAUCAAGGUUUUGGUAUGUUCUUCUUUCGUGUAUCAAUUCAGGAAGUUGCCAUACAUUAACACAUACUAGUGAAAAAUAUUUAUGUGGAUGAAUGUCGGCUGCUAGCUCUCAGCCUUUCAUUUCUUUGU
rnacentral:lncRNA from 1 species